rnacentral:rRNA from 1 species
UACGUAGGGUGCAAGCGUUGUCCGGAAUUAUUGGGCGUAAAGAGCUCGUAGGCGGUUUGUUGCGUCGGCUGUGAAAUCCCGAGGCUCAACCUCGGGUCUGCAGUCGAUACGAGCAAACUAGAGUGUUGCAGGGGGAGACUGGAAUUCCUGGUGUAGCGGUGAAAUGCGCAGAUAUCAGGAGGAACACCGGUGGCGAAGGCGGGUCUCUGGGCAGGUGAACUGACGCUGAGGAGCCGAAAGCGUGGGGAGCGAACAGG